GUACAUGGAGGUUCCCAGGCUAGGGGUCGAAUUGGAGCUACAGCUGCUGGCCUACACCACUGCUCACAGCAACACGGGAUCCGAGCUGCGUCUGCAACCUACACCACAGCUCACAGCAAUGCCAGAUCCUUAACCCACUGAGCGAGGCCAGGGAUGGACCCUGCGUCCUCAUGGAUCCUAGUCGGAUUCGGGUCUGUAAAUGCUUGCUCUGGGCUCCAAAGCCAGCUGGAGGAGAGCAGAACUACAAGCCAUGCUCCUUCCCCUCCACAGGCCACCUCCAGGGCCUGAAGGGACCUGACAGGCCCUCUGGUCCAAGAGCCCCAGGGUCCCCAAUCCAAGACAGAGACCCAGCGCCUGGGGAGGGAGCUCCUGGCCAUCUGCCGGGUCCCCCAGGGCCAGCCUAAAAGACACGCGCCUGCCACCCCCACCCUAGCCCCACCUCCUCUCUCCGCCCUGGCUCUAAGCGCGCCUGCCGUUCUUGGGAGCUGCUUCACCUCCAUUCUAGCCAGCUGCCCCUAGAAUCUAAGCCCACCCACAGGGGACCCACUGGCUCUUCUGUCCCUCUCCCACCAAACCAGGGCUCAGCUCCUCAGGGGGAUAAGACCCUUGCCGUGAGCUCCCGACAAGCGGGGUGAUGCCCGAGCUUUCUCUGCGCGUCCACACCGCCCAUCAAGGGGCUCGACAACUGACUGCUGAGUGAGUGAAUGACCAAUGACCUGGGAAAGAAGUGCAGGCAGGAUAAACGCCGUGGGCCUGAUUCUCCAGUUCUGCCCUGUGACCAGCACCUGCCAGGGGCUCUGGCUCCCAGGAGCUGACAGCCUGGCCCCUCUGCCCACCUGUGACAGGCAGAACAGUGGUCCCCAAAGACAUCUGCCUCCUAACCCCAGACCCUGUGGCUAUAUUAUCAUACACGGCAAACAGGACUCUGCAGACGUGACGAAAGAUUGUGAGAUGGGGAGAGUAUCGUGGACGGUCUCAGUGGGCCCGGAGUUAUCACAAGGGUCCCUGGAAGAGGGAAGCAGGAGAUCUGGUUCAGAGUGAGAGCUGUGAAGGUGCCAAACUGCCCGCUUUGAGAAUGGACCAAGGGGCCCAGAAGUGCCGGCAGCCACCAGAGCUGGAACAGGGAAGGGAAACAGGUUUUUCCCUAAAGUCCCUGGAAGAUAUGCAGUCCUGCUAACAUCUUAAUUUUAGCUCAGUGAAACCUACUUUUUCUGAUCUCCAAAAGUGUGAGAUAAUAUUUCUAGUGUCUUAAGCCACUAAAUAUGGAGAGAUUUGCUCCAAUAGCAACAGGAAAUGAAUAUUCCACCCAGGUGCCACCCUAGACCCUGGAAUCAGCUCACGUCCUUCCCACCUCGGGGACCUCUAGAGACUCCCCUCGAUGCUGCCCCUGCAGAGGGAGCAUCUCAGAGCCCCGGGACAUCCCUGAGCCCCAGGAAGCUUGAACAUCCAGUGGCAGCGGCAUGAACACUCCCGAGCACGGGCCCCGGGGGGAGCCCAAGGCCGGGCCGCAGCGUGGGGCGAGGCAGAGCCUAGGGCAGCUACUGGUCGUGGAGAAAUGGGUCCCAGGAGCCAGGCCUGGCUGGGGCCCAGCCCCACUCUGGGCCUCUGUCUCCUUAGCAGCCCAGAGCGGCUAGGAGCCCCCGACCCGCCUGCUUCAGUCCGCAAGCCGGGAUCCUCCUAAGGUUGGCUGCUGCCUCUCCCAGCAGGAAAGGAGGUUUUUCCUGAUGCCCCAGAACACGGAGGAAUCCAUGGCUCGAAGAGGGGUCUUCCUUAAGGCCACACAGCAGGAAAAUGGAGAGACUAAGGCUGGAACCCAGGCCUCCUGGCCCCCCGUGUGGACGCCAGGUCACCCCUGCUGAGCCCCUCGGCCACCACCACAGGAGGGGGCUCGGACACCCUGACUGGGGCCUAGGCCCUGCGGUCACGGGCUGGGCUCACGCAUGGCUCAGAGCAUGGCAGCCUGGCAGUCUUGCUCUGCCUCUGUCCACGCCUGGAAUGCUCUAGAGGCCUGGGGGUGGGCGGUGGAGGGACUGCCUGGAGGAUCAACUCCCAUGGGGGGCGGGGUGCUGGCUCUAAUAGCCUCCUGCUUCCCCAGGGACCCAGGGCGCUCAUUUCAGGGCCUGCCAGCCAGGCGCCAGGCUGCCUGGGCCUAUUUCCCAAUAAAUACGCCAGGGCUUCGAGCCUUUCUGGGAAACAUGGGCUCCCCUCCCCCCGCCCUACGACCAGAAUCCCCGCCAGCUCGGCUCGGUGGGAACUCGGCGGGGCCGACGUAUGGCCGCGGAGUCAGGACACCUUGGCCCAGAUUCCACACGGGAGACGCAGGGCCCUGGCGCACCGCUGGCCGCACUGCGCCGGCUUCAUCCGAACCCCGGGAACCCCCGGGAGGCCCAUCUCGCUGCCCUGGGGCCCUGAGACGGCGAUGAGGCCUGGGCAGCUCCACCAGCAGAGGCCUGCAGGGCGGCCCGGGCGGCCCGCAGCUCCCGCCUCCCCGGGCCUUUGUCCACCGCCCUCACACCGGCCCAGCCGCCGGGGCUGCGCAGCUCUGAGCUCGCCCGGAAUGCUGGAGCCCAGGCCCUCCCGAAACCCUCCACCGAGACCCACCACCUUACCGCCUCUGCCCCGGGGCAAGCCUGUGAGAGGCUGCGUCAGAUCGGGUCACUGUCCACGGAAAACCUUCGCUCAGGUAAACACAGACGGACGGGCCCCCACCGGCCGAGGAAACGCACCCCUUCGGCCCCGACCCACUUCCGCCCUCCCCGAAUUCUGAGCUGACCCCUCCUUGACGCCACCCACAGGCCUCCCCUCCGACCUCACCUCUACCGCAGGGCCUUUGCACUUUCUGUCCCCCGCCCCCAGGCAGCCCCAGGCUUACUCCCCGCAGGCCUCUACUCCAAACGCAUCUCCUCUGAGGCCUUCUCAGACCUCAGUCUAAACAGCGCCUCCCGGUCCUUCUCUAGUCCCUCACCUUGCUGUCCAGCCCCAUCCCUCCCUGAUGGACAAUGCACUGUCUUUGUUUUGUUUUGUCUCUUUUUUAGGCUGCACCCACGGCAUAUGGAGGUUCCCAGGCUAGGGUCAAAUCGGAGCUGCAGCCACUGGCCUACACCACAGCCACAGCCACGCAGAUCCAAGCUGCGUCUGCGACGUACACCACAGCUCACGGCAAUGCUGGAUCCUUAACCCACUGAGUGAGGCUGGGGAUUGAACCUGUGUCCUCAUGGUUCCUAGUCAGACUCAUUUCCGCUGAGCCACGAUGGGAACUCCGACCAUGUGUUGUUUGUAGACAGGUCUCCACCAGUCUGGAAGCUCCAGGAGGCCGAGCCUGUGUUCUGCUGGCUGCUGUAUUCCAGGGGCCAGCAGAGUGCCUGAGUGUCCAGGGGUUCAGUAUUUGUGAAAUGGAGGAACGCGUCACCUUAUUACCAAGGCUGAGCCAAGUCUCUGAAACAAGCUCCUGUGGCUCGUGGUUUAACAUGCUCCAUCUGCUACCAGCCUCUGCCCCAUGUGCCCUCCUCCUAGAACCUCUCCCUCUCGUCUCUGGAUAUUCAGAUUCUUCCAGUUUUCAAAGCCAGGCUCCAGUCAGAGCCUCAUCCAGAAGCCUCUCCUGCCAGCCCCAGGCCAGUGCCUCGACAUCCUGCAGCCCCUCCUGGCCACUGGGUGUUUCUGGCUCUUCCGCUGGCCUGGAGGCGCCCCCGCCCCACUGCGGGCCAGCAGGUGUAGCUGAGAGAUCACAGACGGGGCGGGCGAGAAGGAGGCAGGAGGGGCAGGUCCCUACUGGGAGGGGGCUGGGGACGGGAUUAACAGCAGCCUUCCAGCCUCCCAAACCCAGCUGGUUCUGGAAAUGAGGGGCUGGAAAAUGUCAGCCUCAACCCUGGUCCAUCCCCCAGCUCUUCCCGGCGGGUGUUGGGGAGGGCGCCAGUCCUGGGCCUCGCUCCCCCAGGAGCUCAGGGCGCCCAGGAAGGAGUCGGGGGAGCGGGGAAUAAACAGAGGGAAGGGACAGCCUCUGCCUGUCCUCCCCCUUCCCACCCUCCCCCUGCAGGGUGACAAGACAUUUAAUUAUAGAUAUUCGGUACCGCUCAGAAUUCCAAACGUCCUAGUCGCCUCCCCUCCCAGAACCAGUUUCCAUGGAAAAAUCAGAGCAAAGAGCCAAGGAGGGAAAGGAGAGAACCCCACCUCCUGUGGGUUCCUUGCCAAGGAGAGACGGAGAGAAGAAAGGUGACAAAGAGCCACAGCCGGCUGGCCCUGCAAGGCAGGAGCCGGAGGCAGGGGUGGGGGCCGGGGCAGGGCGGUGCAUGGACCUGGCUCUGCCCUGCCCACGAGUGACCCCAAAGUCGGCACUCUCCUUUCUGAGCCUUGAAGCUCUUCCCAUGGCAAACCCAGGCCCCAGUGAAUUAAAUGAGUACCGGGAAGGUGUUCAGGCGGCUGGGGGGGUGCAGGGGACGGCCCCCCGACCCUGCGGCACUCCUCAGAUGGCGGGUCAAUUCCACCAAGAAACAGGGACCCCCUGGGCCCCUUCACCACUAAGACGCUUGAUGAGCUCGUCAAGCCGUGAGGAUCUAGGGUCUGCGCCUCCAAGAACGCGGCCGGGUGAGGUUCUCACAGCUUUCGCAUUUGAAGAGUGAAACCUCCAGAGUGUUGGGCAUACAGUCAGUGUUUAAUAAAUGUUAGCCACUGUUCCUAUUUCAAUCUGCUCGAGUUUUAUGAGUCCACCCAUCUGAUUCUGCCACACAAGUCACCUCCUGUGUCUGGGCUGAGCCACCACUGCUGUCAAAUGGGGGUCAGGCUGUGCGCAGAAGCCUGGACCCCAGGACUCUGUACUUGGAGGCCAGCGCAGGGGAGGACCUGGGGUGAAGAGUCACUGAGCAUCGGGCCUAUCUCAGGCCUUUGUGGCAACGACAAGGGGGCGGGGGAGGGGGAAGGGCAAGCAGCCUCCACAGCUGGGCUCCUCCCCGCAGCACAUCUGCAAGCAGGUGUGCGCAGAAAGCCAAAGUGAGUUCGCCCUCGCUCCCUGGGCUCCUGCGUUCUUCCAGCCGGUCAGUCGCAUGCACAGAGCUGCCUUUCUCUCCCUUCCAGCCACAGCCCGACUCUUCCUGCUUCCCUUGACCACCCUGCAGGCUGAGUCCUUCCUAGAGAGCUCCAAAGACCAGGCAGUCUAACCCCCCACUGCACAGAGGGAACACCGAGGCCCACGAUAACUCUGUCAAGGUCUCAGAGCACAUCAGAGGCUGAGCCAGGCCUGGUCCCGGGCCUCCUGCUCCCAACUGUGGGGGCAGCACCACACAGAAGGCAAAUAUGGAAUAUGGGGUGGGAGAGACCCGACUUUGAGGGGCUCCCCAUAGCCCAAGGGUGAGUCGGGGCCUCUUUUGUUAGCCCCCUGGCUGAGCUCACACUGGUUUCUGCCUCCUCAGCAAAGCAAGACAGCGUCUCGCCCUCUUACCCCGGAGCCCACGCCACGCCAUCCCCACCCACAGCCCAGGGAGCGAGACUGGAGCCCCAGGCCCGGAACAAGGGGGCAUUGUCUCCACCGCGGCAGCCAGCAGGAGGGCUGGACAGCUGCUCCCCAUCUUCCUAGAGGCGGAAGGAAAGGGACAGCAGGAGCGAGUCAGGCUAGUGGACGGGAGAACUUCCGGGCUUUACCAGGGGUGCGGAGUUAGGGAGGCCCAAUCUCUUUUGAGUUGACUCAAGUCCACCAGGUUACACCGCGGCCCAGAGUGCCCAGCUCUGCGCUCAGAAAUCAGUAGGGGGCAGGCAGGAGGGGCCAGGGCGGGACCCUGGGACCCUGGGAUGCAGCUGAGACAGUGGACCGUGUUUAUUCCCUCUCUCCUGCCCCUGGGGGGGUGCGACCACCCCACCCACUCACAGUGCACCAGCCUGUGGGCAGAUCAUCAGCCCCACUUCGCAGAAGGGAAGGUUGAGGCAUAAAGCAAGGACGUGACUGAUCCAAGGCCACACCCUGCUCUUCCAGGGACAGACUCACUGGUUCCUCCCCCCAAGGGUAAGAGGGGACCUCACCCGGGGCCUUGGAGAGGGAGCGCCUUCCUUGAGGGCAAUGAGAAGCCAGUGUUAGGGGUCCCACCUCACAGAGCCCAGGGGGCAGGGGAGCCCUAAGCUUCUCCCUGAGAUCAGGCGGGUCAGGGGACUGUGCAGAGAGCGGACCAGGAGCCAGUUGUGCAGAAGUUCCCACUUCCCCUGAGUCUCAAGGCCCCUCUUCAGGAGCAGCCUGCCUCCCCCAGCCUGCGAGUCCCCUGGUUCACCCCUGCUCUCUCCCUAAUUUACCCUUCGAGGCUCCUGGAGGAGAUAAUGACACAGGAAAAGCAUCGGGGGAGGGGACCCUGGCAGGAAGCGCCCCUGCGGUCACCCUUCCCCACCUCCAGCUUCCAAAGACAACUGGCACCUGCGUUAGGGGCACCUGAGCCACCCCCAGGCUCUCAAGGGGAAGAACAGGUCCCAAUUUCCCCUCUCCCCCCGCCCAGUCUACUGACUGCAGCCUCUGGGGGGGACCCAGAGCCAGGACCGGGGGACACAGAGCCAGGAGAGAGCACCAGACAGAGGGAGCUCAGAGGGGCCGGGAGAGCGCUGAGAACCGUGUGUGACCAGGUCAGGCCCGGGUUUAGGGUUUGCGGGCUCCUCAGUCCGGCAGGGACACUGUGGCCGCAGGGCACGACUGAAGGAACCCCAGGCCACCCCCACUCUAGGGUCCAACCCCAGAGCCUCAAAUCUAGCUUCCAUCCGGGAUGCCAGGGCAUCAUACUGCCUAGAACCCAUCUGAACCCACGGCCCAAAUCCAGGGAUAGCUGAAGCCAGAAGGUGGCAGGGGAGCCUUGGGGAGAGCAAGUCCCCAGGGCCCAGGGUCUGGCAGAGGAAGGAGGAAGCAGCUCAGAGUCACCAGGAAGGAGGCCGGGUGGGGAAAAGAUGCAAGACCAGGGCCCCCAUCCUGACCCAGAGAGGCAGCCCUGCCUGUGGCAGCCGGAACCACCCCCAGCCUCUCCCGGGGCCCCACCUGCUGAACUUCAGCUGCCUCCCCCUGACCUUGGCCUCCCCUCGAGGUCCCCAUUCUACUCAGAGGAGGCUUCGGCAGAUUUCAGGCCCAAAGAGUGCCCCAACUCCAACCACAAACCCGUGCAGCCCAGCUGAGAGGGGCCAUGGGCACCAGCCACCAGCUUGUCCCCAACCCUGCUGUCACACACGGGAAGGCUGAGUCACACAGAAAGGCCAGGGCCACCGAUGGAGCUCAUGAAGCCCUCUCCACCACUCCACACGGGAACGCCUCUACCUCUCCAGUUCUCC
rnacentral:lncRNA from 1 species